AGAUAUUCCAGAUGAAGGAAGGCCUUAUUGGAUACAUUAAACUGUGAGGAACCAGUAAGUUGUGCCAGAAAUGUAUCCUCGUGUUUGAUGAAAAAACAAGCAAGCAAACAAACUCUGAAGGAAAUGAGAGGGAAGAAAGGAAGAAGUGAGGCAUAAACCAAGGGAAAAUUGAGGCAUAUUUUCUUAAUAGAAGUAAGAUGCGAUGUGAUAUGGUUUGGCUCUGUGUCCCCACCCAAAUGUCAUUUUGAAUUGUAAUCCCCAUAAUCCCCACGUGUCAAGGGAGGGACCUGGUGGGAGGUGAUUGGAUCAUGGGGGCAGUUUCCCCCCUGCUGUUCAUGUGAUAGUUAGUGAGUUCUCACGAGAGCUGAUGGUUUUAUAAGCAUCUGACAUUUCCCCUGCUUCUCUCACCUGCCGCCAUUUCAGACGCGCCUUUUCUUCUCCUUUGCCUUCUGUUCUGAUUGUAAGUUUCCUAAGGCCUCCCAACCAUUCAGAACUGUGAGUCAAUUAAACCCCCUUCCUUUAUAAAGUACCCCUUCUUGGGUAUUUCUGUACAGCGGUGUGUAAAGGGACUAAUACACUAUGCAUUCCAUAUCUUGUUUAUUGUCUUUUAUAAACUCUAUUUUUCCCAAAUGAUUUCUGGUUUGUAACCUUGGGUUUUUCAAGCUGAUACUUCCAAUUUCUUCUAAAAGAUCCAGUUUGUUGAUCUGUUAUCCAUUUGGUCUACAAAUAAUUAUAUUAAACUCCACUUUAAUUAGCUUCUUCAAACUGUUUUAGAGGCUACAUUCACUAUGAAAAUAAGAUCAACAAAAUAUGGCAACCAGAUUCUCAAUGAAUAUUUGAUAAGUGUUGAUGUAUGAAGAUUUUGAUAGUCUGCAGUAUGUGUAUUUAUUGUACUAAAAUGAAAUCUGGAAAACUCUCUGAUUUACAAAUUCCAAAGUUGCCUUUCUUCCCACAAUCUCACCUAGACUUACAUGCUCAUAAUAUAAACCCAUUUUCUUUUGAGCAUUUUAAUACAGAGGGUAAGAGAUGAUCAUAUGCAAUCACCUUAUGCUUUGCUUUCUUUUCUAUAU
rnacentral:lncRNA from 1 species